rnacentral:lncRNA from 1 species
GGGAUAUAGAGAUGAAAAGAUCAAUGUAUCAAAAUUGUAAUGAAUAAUUGAUGUAACAAUUCAUAUUAAGAUGUACUAUACUUGUGAAUAAUGAUGUAGUAGCUUAGAUUGCAUUUGGUUGGAAGUAAAAGUAAAUUGUAAUUGAGGGGUAAAGUAUGAAUGAAUGAAUGUAAUAACUUAGAAUGUGUUUAUGUUGUUUGAUACCUUCCUUAUGCAAUCGUUGUAUGUUGAAUACUGUUCCUGUUUGGAACCUGUUGUAAUUGUAUUGAUUGCGAUGCCUUGAACGUACAGGGAAGACUCUGUCCGCAGUGCAAGGAAAACUCUGUCCGUUCGGCGCUGUCGGUGUCGCGACCCCGGUCAAAUAGGCGGGUGGUCGCGGGC